UAUAGCUCUCUACAAAUUUGCUAUCGCAAUUGAUGCUUCGCCUUUCAGGCAAAACUGUGACUUUUGU
rnacentral:lncRNA from 1 species